rfam:Cavia porcellus supercont2_209 genomic scaffold, whole genome shotgun sequence.
GUGCUUGCUUCAGCAGCACAUAUACUAAAAUUGGAAUGAUGCAGAGAAUAUAAUCAUGGGUGCUGCACCAGGAUGACACGCAGCAUGAUCCAUGGACAAACAUA